GCCGGGCGAGGUGGCGGGCGCCUGUAGUCCCAGCUACUCGGAGGCUGAGCCAGGAGAAUGGCUUGAACCCAGGAGGCGGAGGUUGCAGUGAGCCGAGAUCGCGCCACUGCACUCCAGCCUGGGCAACAAAGCGAGACUCUGUCUCAA
rnacentral:SRP_RNA from 1 species